GACAGAGGGGGCAAGCGUUGCUCGGAAUUACUGGGCGUAAAGGGCGCGUAGGCGGGAUGGCAAGUCGGUCGUGAAAUCCCUCGGCUCAACCGAGAAACGUCGGCUGAUACUGCCGUUCUUGAGGGAUGCAGAGGAGACUGGAAUUCCCGGUGUAGCGGUGAAAUGUGUAGAGAUCGGGAGGAACACCGGUGGCGAAGGCGGGUCUCUGGGCAUCUCCUGACGCUGAGGCGCGAAAGCGUGGGGAGCGAACAGG
rnacentral:rRNA from 1 species